UACGUAGGGGGCAAGCGUUAUCCGGAAUUACUGGGUGUAAAGGGAGCGUAGACGGUAAUGUAAGUCUGGAGUGAAAGGCGGGGGCCCAACCCCCGGACUGCUCUGGAAACUAUGUUACUAGAGUGCAGGAGAGGUAAGCGGAAUUCCUAGUGUAGCGGUGAAAUGCGUAGGUAUUAGGAGGAACACCAGUGGCGAAGGCGGCUUACUGGACUGUAACUGACGUUGAGGCUCGAAAGCGUGGGGAGCAAACAGG
rnacentral:rRNA from 1 species